AGCUGACUUGGAGGAAGCCAGGACAUUCGUGCUGUGUUGUGUACAUGUGUUUACUUUGGAUUACUUGAUGUGCCCCCCCCCCUAUCUAUGUCACUGACAAUUAUAGCCAUGUUGAUAUUUAAUGCUGGCUGAAUUUAGGACUGGCCUCCAUACACAGUAGCAAAUGGGCUUCCAUCCUCAAGAUUCUACUAUCGGAUAUAUCGGAUGAAUUUCAAAUCGCUUGACCUUGAGUUUAAAAACGAUCAUGAAAAGUAUAUUAUUUUAGUUUCUUAAAAAUCGUUGUUUAAACAAGUGUGCAGUCUGUUUGAUCUUCACUGCAAUGGAAAAAGAGCAGAGAAAUGUUACAUUUUUGUGGAAAGCCUUGCUGAAGAGGUGGCGAGAAACUAAGAACGAGUGUCUUCAAAGAGAGAUGGAAGUUUCUACAGUGACCAGUUUUCUGUCUCGGUUGGCUUCUACACAAAAAAUGAGCAAACUUGUUCGAGCAAAGACCUUACCAUCGAUUGAUUUGUCUGAUUUGAUAUCACCUGAAGAGUUUUUACAUCACGGCAUUCAUGUAGCAGUGACAUCAUCUGAAGGUAGACCAAUUCAAAAUAAGGCUAUAGACAAGAAAAUCAAUUUGAGAAAAAUGUCUUAUCCUGAAUCAACCUUUGCAUUUAUACGACAAUUUGGAACGGGCAUAACAAUACGUU
rnacentral:sRNA from 13 species